AGCAAUAGAAUAGGCUUAAAAGGGUCGGUCGGCUACCUCUCGAUAGAAGGGAGGGUUGCCUAUAUGACAGUUAAAGACACACUGACGCUAAUGAUCUCAUUCGCGACUUUGGUUGUUCUUAUACUUUCAUUCCACAACAAAAAGUAGACCACCCUCGGCAAAGGUACAUGGUCUACUUUCUGUCCAUUAUUAUUCUGUCGCAGCCUACCGCCCUUAAAAGCGGCUAUUGCUCGAGGAGUCGUGCCGUAUGUACGACUC
rnacentral:sRNA from 1 species